CCUACGGGAUGCAGCAGUGAGGAAUAUUGGUCAAUGGGCGAGAGCCUGAACCAGCCAAGUCGCGUGAGGGAGUACUGCCCUAUGGGUUGUAAACCUCUUUUGUCGAGGAGCAAAAGCCGGACGUGUCCGGCUGUGAGAGUACCCGAAGAAAAAGCAUCGGCUAACUCCGUGCCAGCCGCCGCGGUAAUACGGAGGAUGCGAUCGUUAUCCGGAUUUUUUGGGUGUAAAGGGUGCGCAGGCGGAUUUUUAAGUCAGCGGUCAAAUCGUGGGGCUCAACCCCAUCCAGCCGUUGAAACUGGGGAUCUAGAGAGGGCGAGAGGUAUGCGGAAGGCGUGGUGUAGCGGUGAAAUGCAUAGAUAGCGCGCAGAACCCCGAUUGCGAAGGCAGCAUACCGGUGCACAACUGACGCUCAGGCACGAAAGCGUGGGUAUCGAACAGGAUUAGAUACCCGAGUAGUC
rnacentral:rRNA from 1 species